AGUUCUGGUGUCAGCCGCCGCGGUAAAACCAGCACCUCAAGUGGUCAGGAGGAUUAUUGGGCCUAAAGCAUCCGUAGCCGGCUCUGUAAGUUUUCGGUUAAAUCCAUGUGCUCAACGCAUGGGCUGUCGAAAAUACUGCAUAGCUAGGGAGUGGGAGAGGUAGACGGUACUCGGUAGGAAGGGGUAAAAUCCUUUGAUCUAUCGAUGACCACCUGUGGCGAAGGCGGUCUACCAGAACACGUUCGACGGUGAGGGAUGAAAGCUGGGGGAGCAAACCGGAUUAGAUACCCGGGUAGUCCCAGCUGUAAACGAUGCAGACUCGAUGAUGCAUUGGCAUAUAGCCAGUGCAGUGUCGCAGGGAAGCCGUUAAGUCUGCCGCCUGGGAAGUACGUACGCAAGUAUGAAACUUAAAGGAA
rnacentral:rRNA from 1 species